GGCGAACCGGUGAGUAACACGUAGGAAUCUACCUAACAGUGGGGGACAACUCGAGGAAACUCGAGCUAAUACCGCAAACGCCCUACGGGGGAAAGCGGGGGACCUUCGGGCCUCGUGAUGUUAGAUGAGCCUGCGGCGGAUUAGCUUGUUGGUACGGUAAAUGCCUACCAAGGCGACGAUCCGUAGCUGGUCUGAGAGGAUGAUCAGCCACACUGGGACUGAGACACGGCCCAGACUCCAACGGGAGGCAGCAGUGGGGAAUAUUGGACAAUGGGCGAAAGCCUGAUCCAGCAAUGCCGCGUGUGUGAAGAAGGCCUUAGGGUUGUAAAGCACUUUCAGCAGGGAAGAAAAGUUCGGGGUUAAUACCCCCGGACCUUGACGGUACCUACAGAAGAAGCACCGGCUAACUCCGUGCCAGCAGCCCCGGUAAUACGGAGGGUGCAAGCGUUAAUCGGAAUUACUGGGCGUAAAGCGCGCGAAGGUGGUUUGGUAAGUCGGGUGUGAAAGCCCCGGGCUCAACCUGGGAAUUGCAUUCGAUACUGUCAGACUAGAGUAUGGUAGAGGGAAGUGGAAUUCCGCAUGUAGCGGAGAAAUGCAUAGAGAUGCGGAGGAAAACCAGUGGCGAAGGGGACUUC
rnacentral:rRNA from 1 species